UCUGUAGGCAUAGUUUAACAAAAAUAUUAGAUUGUGAUUCUAAAGACAGAGGUUAAAAUCCUCUUGCCCA
rnacentral:tRNA from 1 species